GUUGACCUCAGAUCAGAUAAG
rnacentral:rRNA from 1 species